rnacentral:rRNA from 1 species
CCUACGUGAGGCAGCAGUGGGGAAUAUUGCGCAAUGGGCGAAAGCCUGACGCAGCGACGCCGCGUGAGGGAUGAAGGUCUUCGGAUCGUAAACCUCUGUCAGCAGGGAAGAACGGUCACUGUGCUAAUCAGCAGUGAAUUGACGGUACCUGCAAAGGAAGCACCGGCUAACUCCGUGCCAGCAGCCGCGGUAAUACGGAGGGUGCGAGCGUUAAUCGGAAUUACUGGGCGUAAACCGCUCGUAGGCGGUAUGUCAAGUCAAGGGUGAAAUCCCCGCGCUAAACGUGGGAACUGCCGUUGAAACUGGCAAACUGGAGUGUGUGAGAGGAUAGUGGAAUUCCAGGUGUAGGAGUGAAAUCCGUAGAUAUCUGGAGGAACAUCAGUGGCGAAGGCGACUAUCUGGCACAUAACUGACGCUGAGGAGCGAAAGCGUGGGUAGCAAACAGGAUUAGAUACCCUUGUAGUC